rnacentral:tRNA from 1 species
UAGCUCAGUAGUAGAGCGCGUGGCUUUUAACCACGUGGUUGUGGGUUUGAUCUCCAU